rnacentral:rRNA from 1 species
AUUGAACGCUGGCGGCAGGCCUAACACAUGCAAGUCGAACGCGUGGCGGACGGGUGAGUAUUGUCUGGGAAACUGCCCGAUGGAGGGGGAUAACUACUGGAAACGGUAGCUAAUACAGCAUACCAUCGGAUGUGCGCAGAGGGGAUUAGCUAGUAGGUGGGGUAACGGCUAACCUAGGCGACGAUCCCUAGCUGGUCUGAGAGGAUGACCAGCCACACUGGAACUGAGACACGGUCCAGACUCCUACGGGAGGCAGCAGUGGGGAAUAUUGCACAAUGGGCGCAAGCCUGAUGCAGCCAUGCCGCGUGUAUGAAGAAGGCCUUCGGGUUGUAAAGUACUUUCAGCGAGGAGGCGUUACUCGCAGAAGAAGCACCGGCUAACUCCGUGCCAGCAGCCGCGGUAAUAC